AUAUUUUCCCUUAUGAGUGCACACCCUACUCCUACAGUGAACCUACUGCAGCCAACAAACACUACUAGGCUCCGAAUGGCUAGGGACCAUGUUUAUGUGUUGUCAAACUACAGCAACCCCACUAUGAGCAGUCAAGGCACUGUAGGUCAGAAAAUUAUUCACACAACUAUAGCAUCGAGAUAGUCACUAACAAGUGAGUAAAAAUUUAAGUGACUUCUCAUUCUUCAUCAUGCUCAGUACUGUUGCUCUCUAACAACCAC
rnacentral:lncRNA from 1 species